GCCGCGUGUGUGAAGAAGGCCUGCGGGUUGUAAAGCACUUUCAGUAGAGAAGAAAAGCUUACGGUUAAUAUCCGUGAGUCUUGACGUAACCUACAGAAGAAGCACCGGCUAACUCCGUGCCAGCAGCCGCGGUAAUAAUCGAAUUCCCGCGGCC
rnacentral:rRNA from 1 species